UAUGAGUCGACUAGAAGAAAUAUUGGGCAACAGGCUGAUCUGUGGUCGGCCGGCAUCAAGAAUAAAGGGAGACUGAAAUGGCCGAUCGACCACGUCCGAGAGAUUCUGAGAAGAGCCUUAACCUCGGGUCCAAAACGGACAUUAUAUACAGAUAUCAACAGUAAGAGGUAGCCGACCGACCGUUACUGGAGGAAAAACGCUAGAGACGGACGGACUGAAGGUUGGAAAGAAGGCAUAGGUGACCAGACGGCUUGCAGGAUUGAGAAGUAAAUGUGUAGGAGAGCCACCGUCCACCACCUCCACGGUCAUUCUCAUCUCACACAACCGUCAACACCUUAAGAGUUAAAGCCUUGGACACGUGUAUGAUUCUGAGCCACAAACCCAAUUUCCUAUUUCUUAAAUUAUGCACACAUGAUGUUUGAAAUAAGAGAAAUGGACUAUACGGUAUAUAUAUGUAGCGGAGUUAGGUGGGCGGCUAUUCAUGUCACUUGGGUGUUGUUAUCGCAAUCCUCGUCAUCGUUGUUUUUCCAAUUUUAUUUAUUUCCAGAAAACUAUGCAUAGAAACAUUGCUUCAGUGGCACAUUUGUUGUCCAUGUCUGAGAGUGGUUGGAAAGAUACGACCAAAACAUAUUUCUAAUCACUCACACGCUGGAGGAUUCCAAUAAUUGCUGUCUUCUUCUCAAAACAUUAACUUA